GCUUCCUUAGCUCAGUCGGUAGAGCGCCAGUCUCAUAGUCGAGUAGUGUUGCACUGCUUAAUCUGGAGGUCGCAAGUUCGAGCCUUGCAGGGAGCA